AUUGAACGCUGGCGGCAGGCCUAACACAUGCAAGUCGAGCGGAUGAAGAGAGCUUGCUCUCUGAUUCAGCGGCGGACGGGUGAGUAAUGCCUAGGAAUCUGCCUGGUAGUGGGGGACAACGUUUCGAAAGGAACGCUAAUACCGCAUACGUCCUACGGGAGAAAGCAGGGGACCUUCGGGCCUUGCGCUAUCAGAUGAGCCUAGGUCGGAUUAGCUAGUAGGUGAGGUAAUGGCUCACCUAGGCGACGAUCAGUAACUGGUCUGAGAGGAUGAUCAGUCACGUUGGAACUGAGACACGGACCAAACACAUACGGGAGGCAGCGGUGGGGAAUAUUGGACAAUGGGCGAAAGCCUGAUCCAGCCAGGCCGCUGGUGUGAAGAAGUUCUGCGGAUUGUAAAGCACUUUAAGUUGGGUGGAAGGGCAGUAAGUGAAUACCUUGCUGUUUUGACGUUACCAACAGAAUAAGCACCGGCUAACUUCGUGCCAGCCGCCGCCGUAACAC
rnacentral:rRNA from 1 species